UACGAGGGGGGCGAGCGUUGUUCGGAAUUAUUGGGCGUAAAGGGCGCGUAGGCGGUGCGGUAAGUCACCUGUGAAACCUCUGGGCUCAACUCAGAGCCUGCAGGCGAAACUGCCGUGCUGGAGUGUGGGAGAGGUGCGUGGAAUUCCCGGUGUAGCGGUGAAAUGCGUAGAUAUCCGGAGGAACACCGGUGGCGAAGGCGGCUUCCUGGACCGACACUGACGCUGAGGCGCGAAAGCUAGGGGAGCAAACGGG
rnacentral:rRNA from 1 species